rnacentral:rRNA from 1 species
ACUUUUAGUUACACGUGAUCAACUUACCCUAUGGAGAGAAAUACCUUCGGGAAACUGAAGAUAAUCUCUCAUAGUUGAAAAUGCCUGGAAGGGUUUUUCAACAAAAGAACAUUUCGAAUGGGAAAUGUUUCGCCAUAGGAUAGGAUCGCGCCCGAUUAUGGCUGUUGGUGAGGUAAUGGCUCACCAAACCUAUUAUCGGUAAGGGCCGUGAGAGCGGGAGCCCUGAGAUGGGUACUGAGACAAUGACCCAGGUCUUACGAGACGCAGCAGGCGCGAAAUCUUCACAAUGCACGAAAGUGAGAUGAGGUCACCCGGAGUGCUACAUAGUAGCUGUGGUAGGUGAGUAAGGUUCCCUACUAGGAAGGAGAGGGCAAGGCUGGUGCCAGCCGCCGCGGUAAAACCAGCUCUUCAAGUGGUCGGGACUAUUAUUGGGCUUAAAGUGUCCGUAGCCUGUUUAGUAAGUUCCUGGUUAAAUCGGAUAGCUUAACUAUCUGUCUGCUAGGAAUACUACUAUACUAGGGGGCGGGAGAGGUCUGAGGUACUCCAGGGGUAGCGGUGAAAUGCUAUAAUCCUUGGGGGACCACCAGUGGCGAAGGCGUCAGACUGGAACGCGCCCGACGGUGAGGGACGAAAGCCAGGGGAGCGAACCGGAUUAGAUACCCGGGUAGUCCUGGCUGUAAACGAUGCGUGCUAGGUGUUGGUAUGGCUAUGAGCCGUAUCAGUGCCGUAGGGAAACCGUUAAGCGCGCCGCCUGGGGAGUACGGUCGCAAGGCUGAAACUUAAAGGAAUUGGCGGGGGAGCAC